AAUCAAAUCACAAUACAAUUCCGAAAAUCGUCCCCCCAACCCUUUGCCGGAAAUCCCUAAUUUAGCGACCGGAAAAUCCUAAUUGUCGCCGGAAAACCCUAAUUGUCGCAAUGGUAGAGGUGCCUUCAAAGUGUGGGAGCAGCGAAAUUGAGCGCAAAGCUGAGCCCAAGAAGAAAGCUGUACCUCAUGUGUUUCAUAUCUGGGAAGAAUCUACUCUUGCAGAGUGGCGACAGGGUCUAUAACAUACGGCAUGCUUUUUGGGGCAUGGCUCAUCAACAAUCACGGAAAAGUUAUCUUCUUUGGUUGUGCUUUGCUGCAGGACGAGACCCCGGGUUCAUUCGCCUGGGCUUACAGGCCUUUAUUCGUUUAUGAAAGGAAGAUUUCGCGGACAAUUAUAACUGAUAUUGACUCUGGACUCCGAGAUGCUAUAAGAAGUGAACUACGAAACACAAAGCACAUCAUUUCUGUAUGGAGUAGUAAGUUGUCUGGACUCUCCGAAAAUGUCGUCUAGUACGUGUCGGAUCCUCCAAAAGUAGUGCAUUUUUUGAGGAUCAGAUAAUGGUGCGGCAGCAAUUUUUGAGAGUCCGCGCAACGUAGAUGGAGUAUCCUACCAAAAACAUCGAGUUGGUUCUCUCUUUUGCUUGGACCAAGGUAUACAGAAUUCAGACCCGAGGUUGAAGUGUUAUAUCAUUUAGAUAGUCAUAGCCCAGAAGAUUUUGAAUAUCAGCGGAACCAGAUGAUUUCGCGGUUCGGGCUCAACUUUGAUAAGCACAUUUCUUUGCUCUUUUCUUUCUGGUUUAGUUGGGCAACAUCUUAUAUAAGAGGCUGUUUUCAUGCACAAAUGUUAUCGGUGUCUUUUGUGAAAUCUGUAGAUGCAUUCUUGAAGGGAUUUUUCAACAUGCAGAUAUGUUCGCGCAGCUUUUUUGUGCAGGUAUAAAAGGAAAGCUCAUUUCUUCCUUUAGAUAUUUGAAGGAUGAAUGCUAAGUGGUAUCAUCUUUAACUGCAGCUCUUUCUAAUGAGUUAUCACUAGCAAAAGAUCGCUUUGAUUCACGGAGAACUUAGAAAAGACCUUAUAAGAAUCAUCAAUGAUGUGAAAAAUUUGCCAGCUACUGAUGGAGUCGUAUUGAAUUCAACUACUCCACCUGCUAAUACAUUGCGAUUUCAGCCUGCUUAACAUAAUUGGUUCUUUGUAACGACGAAAGACUUGGAGGAAGAGAAAUAGUGCAUGUUAGGAUGUGACACAAAAAGAGAUUGUACAGAAUAGAUGUGGUUAAGCUUGUUUUUCUCCUUGGUUCCUCAGUCCUUACACUGUUGUAGUUGCUUACUUGGUGUUUUCAUAAAUCUAGGUCCAUAGUUUAGGAGUUAUCAACUUGAGAUUAUAUUUCCUUUUCAGUCCCUUGUAGCAAAAUGUCAAUAGUUUAGUGCUUGUAAGUUCUGUUAUCUUGAAGAACAUUUCUUCUGUUCCCUUUUAAGGAUUUUCCCCCCUUUUAAUAAGGAUA